rnacentral:rRNA from 1 species
AUUGAACGCUGGCGGCAUGCUUUACACAUGCAAGUCGAACGGUAACAGGGAGCUUGCUCCGCUGACGAGUGGCGAACGGGUGAGUAAUGCGUCGGAACGUGCCGAGUAGUGGGGGAUAACGCAUCGAAAGGUGUGCUAAUACCGCAUACGUACUGAGGUAGAAAGUGGGGGACCUUCGGGCCUCACGCUAUUCGAGCGGCCGACGUCUGAUUAGCUAGUUGGUGAGGUAAAGGCUCACCAAGCGACGAUCAGUAGCGGGUCUGAGAGGAUGAUCCGCCACACUGGGACUGAGACACGGCCCAGACGCCUACGGGAGGCAGCAGUGGGGAAUUUUGGACAAUGGGCGCAAGCCUGAUCCAGCCAUGCCGCGUGUCUGAAGAAGGCCUUCGGGUUGUAAAGGACUUUUGUCCGGGAGCAAAUACCCAGUGCUAAUAACGCUGGGGGCUGAGAGUACCGGAAGAAUAAGCACCGGCUAACUACGUGCCAGCAGCCGCAGUAACAC